UACGUAUGGUGCAAGCGUUAUCCGGAUUUACUGGGUGUAAAGGGAGCGCAGGCGGCACGGCAAGCCUGAUGUGAAAGCCCGCGGCCCAACCGCGGGACUGCAUUGGGAACUACCGGGCUGGAGUGCCGGAGAGGUAGGCGGAAUUCCUAGUGUAUCGGUGAAAUGCGUAGAUAUUAGGAGGAACACCAGUGGCGAAGGCGGCCUACUGGACGGUGACUGACGCUGAGGCUCGAAAGCGUGGGGAGCAAACAGG
rnacentral:rRNA from 1 species